UGAAGCUGGAAUUGCUAGUAAUGGCAGGUCAGCAUACUGCCGUGAAUACGUUCCCGGGCCCUUGUACACACCGCCCGUCACACCAUGAGAGUUGGAAAUACCCGAAGCCUGUGAGCUAACUUAAAGAGGCAGCAGUCGAAGGUAGAGCCAAUGAUUGGGGUGAAGUCGUAACAAGGUAUC
rnacentral:rRNA from 1 species